GGAUUUCUUUGUAGACAUUGAAAAUUGCUUCCUCAUCAUCUACCCUCAAGAUCAUCUUUCCCUCUCUCACUUUGAUAAUUGCAUCACCAGUAGCCAAGAGAGGUCGCCCCAAUAUGAUUGUGACAAGUUAAUCAGCCUCAUAAUCGAGGAUAAUGAAAUCAGCAGGGAAGAUGAAUUUACUAAUCUGCAGCAACACAUCUUCAAUCACCACCUCGGGGUGCGUUAUCGACCUAUCAGCCAGCUUCAACAACACAGUAGAUGGCCUUGAAGCUCCCAG
rnacentral:lncRNA from 1 species